GAAGGUGGCAAGCGUUAUCCGGAAUGAUUGGGCGUAAAGCGUCCGCAGACGGUUUGAUACGUCGUACGUCAAAUCCUGAGGCUCAACUUCAGGGCUGCGUGCGAAACGGUUUUUCUAGAGGUCGGAAGAGGCAAGCGGAAUUACCGGUGUAGCGGUAAAAUGCGUUAAUAUCGGUAAGAACACCAAAAGCGAAGGCAGCUUGCUGGUACGAUCCUGACGUUAAGGGACGAAAGCGUGGGGAGCGAAUGGGAUUAGAUACCCCAGUAGUCCACGCUGUAAACGAUGGGUACUAAGCAUUGGGAGUAUCGACCCUCUCAGUGCUGUCUAAUUAAGCUAACGCCUUAAGUACCCCGCCUGGGAAGUACGGUCGCAAGASKA
rnacentral:rRNA from 1 species